rnacentral:lncRNA from 1 species
AGAGAGGUUCCAAGGCAGCGCCAUGGAUUUCAAGGGAGUCGAUUUCGACUACUUGCCGUUCGGGGCCGGGCGGAGGAUAUGCCCCGGAAUCGGGUUCGGGAUGGCCACCGUGGAGCUCGCCCUGGCUCACCUCCUCCUGCACUUCGACUGGGAGCUGCCCCAUGGAAUGAGACCGGAGGAGCUCGACAUGUGCGAGACCAUGGCGUUUGUCGCACCGAGGAAGACGGAGCUGAAGCUGAUCGCUACCAUUCGAGUUCCUAUCCCCAUCGCUACCUGAAGCUUUCUUGUUGGCGCAUUUAUUAUUAAGUGAAGGAUCUAAAUCAAAGAACAAUAAAUCUAAGAAUUAUAAUGCAUUCCUUUCGGUUGAGAAAAAUCUUCUCUACAAACACAACUAGAUUAGUAUUUUUCUCUCUUUCUACCAUUCACUUCUCUUUAAUCUCUAUUAAAUUAUUAUAUAUAUAUAUAUAAGUAAUUAGUAAAAUUUCUCUAAGAUAAUCUCUAAAUAAAUUUUAUUAUAAUUAAAAUUUCUUUUUGUUGAUCGACAAUCGAAUUCAAUCAUACUUAUAAUAUAAUUAGAUGUCUGUCUUUCAUAAAGUGUCAACUUCUCAUAAGUUGAAAAGAUAUAGACUAAGUAUAGAUAGGAAUGAGAGGAAGACAAUUAGCUUAUAGAAAUAUACAUCUGUUGUAGGAAAUAAUGUUGCCACGAAAUAAUUUUAGAUGUGAUUGAUGUAUAUAGAUAAAACCAUAUGCCUCCCAAGAAACAUGCACUUUACUACGUUCCAGAUGACUGUGUUGGAUUUCUCCUAUAGGCAGAUAUAUAUAGAUAAACAAUGUGUUCAUGUCAAUCAGCAAGAAAAGACAACUACUUAAAUAAAAUUGGGUUCUCAAAUGGACGAGGGUGUCUAUACUCCAUCUGAUUCUAUACAUCUUUAGAUCAUCGAAGUAUUGUACUUAUGGAUAAUAUUAGAUUCUCAUUAGAUUUUAGUGGCUUUGAUCAAAUCAAUUGACCAUUGUUGCCAAGAUGUCAUUUUCAAAGAUUUUUUCUUCUUUUAUUGUAGGAAAAUAUUCUAGAAUGACAACUUUUAGUUUCAUUUUUGUUUAGGAGAGAUGUUUUUCCCACACAAAAAAGAGAGACGCUUAAAAUCUAUGAUCACUAGAACACCACUGAGAUAAGGAAUUGCUUCUCAAAGAAAGCAACAAAAACACACAAACAAAUAAAUUUCGUGAAAAAAAUAUGAUCAUGACACGUCGAGCUCGUCUGCGUUAGGACAAUUAUGAUCAAUAUUUGUUUUCACAGUUUGCAUUGAUGCUCGACACAAGCAUCAAUGGCUACACACUGCAAUUUGCACAGUUGUUUUCGUUAAUACUGAGUCUGCUAAUUGAUGCAAAUUGUCAUUGCAAAGCUCAUUCCUGGCCUGUUCGGUCUCUCGAGGCCUGUAGACAACAUCACAAAUGCAUUUACAGCUCACAUCGGUGACCAUCACAGUGAAGUAACGGAAUUGGAACCGAGGAGGAAGAGAGCUCGCCUUCUGUAUCGGUUAUGGACAAGUGUAACCAGAGGGUUGAAGUCCUCGAAGACACUGUCCUCCCACUCUAUUGCUGAAAUGAUGUCUGCCAAAUGUAAUUCUCGUCCUGCCACACGACCUCCUUAUCAGUGCUGCAAUUCUCGUCACUCCUCUCCGCGGAGUUCCAUCUACGUGCAUCUUCCUCGUCUUUUCCAUCACCAAGUACUAGCUCGACCGCCUUGGAAGCCCUUGGUUGGAAUAUAUAUAUAUAUAUAUAUAUAUAUAUAUAUAUAUAUAUAUAUAUAUAUAUAAAAUUGACUUUUCUGUAAAACUUCAAGGAGAAUAGGAAGAGAAUAGUAUAAUAAACCACGAGUACUUUCAAUUAGUAGUGCUUUUGACUGACUGAUCAAAGACCACCUAUUUAUAUUAACUAAAAGAUAAAAUAUUUUUUUUAAUUAUAAAAAAUAUUAUAUCCCAAUAAAUCUUUUCACCCUCAUCUAUUUAUUUAAAUCUAAAUUCUUCUAUUUUAUUUUAUCUAUUCCUAAUUAUUUGAAUUAAUCUUAUCACACCCCUUUAAUUCAAAAGGGUUAUAACUUGAAGAUCUCUUGAAAAAAAUAAAAUUAUUAUUUAUUUUUUUAUCAUCCUCAUAGUUGCUAUUAAUUUAUCAAUUUUCUUAUCAUAAAUCAAGUAUUUUUCAUUUUAAAAAUAGCAUAACAUUAUUUUCUCAUCACUUCCUAUACUAAUGAGAUUUUAUUUUAAAUUAUAAAUAAACAUCGCAUCAUCAAUGAAUUUUUUACCAAAUCUGGUGUUCACGUUAAUUGUUCCUUUCCCUUUAACUUGAACUUUACUGUCAUUUCUCAUUUGUACUAUAGAUCAAAUUGAAUUAUCAAGGAACAACUUUAGUCCUCUGUCAUAUAAUAAAGAUACGGAGUAUUCUUUAUUAAAUGCUAUAAGGAAAAUAUUUUCUUUAUCCUUUUUAUCGUUAUUAUUUUCCUCAUGAUAAUUUGUUUGAGUUUUGUUCUAAUAUUUUUUUUAGAUGACCAUAUAUCUUUUUCAAGAUGACCAUAUUUUUUUUACGGUGAGAGCAGAGAGGAAUAUUUAGUUUUUUAUUUUUUAUUUUUUCAAUAUAUUUAAUUUUUUUAUAAUAAAAAUAUUGACGUGUUUCUUUAUUACCUACAUUAGAAUUCCUCUAACCAUCAUAUAAUUGGCAUUGUUCUUUACCAUUUUGAUCUUUCUCUUGAGAUCUAGUUUUUUACUUUUUCUUUUGGUCUUCUUUUGAUGUAUCUUUAUGAAGGGCUCUAAAGUUUCAUGUGAAGAUUAUUCACUUUUUAUUCAUGGACUAAAAGCAAGCCUAUUAAUUCAUCAACAGAUAAUAUACUUGUACCUUUAGCUUCUUCUAUAGCUAGUAGAAAUAAUAUCAAAUUUUGAAGAUCUUUUAAAUUUUAUUAAACUUUUUCUACUACAAUUUGAUCUUUUAAAUUUUCACCAUAAAAUCUCAUUUGUUUCAUAAUAGAAGAGACUUAAAAAAAAAAAAACCAAUGAUAGAUUAAGAAUUUUUCUUCAUAAGAGCUUCAAAUUGACGCUGAAGAAUUUGAAGUUUUGAAACUUUUACCUUAUUUCUGCCUCCAAACAUACUUUUUAAUAAUUUUCAAGUUUUUAUUGAUAUUGAUAUUAUCAUGAUUUGAGGAAAUAGAAGCUCAUCUAUUGCUUGUUGUAGCAUGUAGAAGGCUAUUACAUCUUUUUGCAUGUUCUUAUUCAUUUGAUCUUUUCGAUCUUCAAUAAUAUUAGGAUUAUAUAGAUCAUACUCAACAAAACUAUUCACUACUAAAUUUUACAAUCCUUGUGAAAUUUUACAAUAAUAUUAGCCUCCUUUUUGCCUCCUCUCGACGUAGGACGAACGCCCACGGCAGCGGAGGAGAAGGAUGAGCAGAUCAAAACCAGAGAGAGAGAAGAGGGAGCGAAUUUGUAGAGAGUUGGUGUGAUUAGUGUGGGAUAUGAUUAAGAGAGAGAGAGAGAGAGAGUGAUAAGGGUAAAAAUGGUGAUGUCACACACGACGUCAGCCGACGCCUCAUGUCUCGAUCGGCGCAACUGCACUCGAUUAACCGAGCCGGAACACUGGCCGAGGCUCAUUAACACACUUGGUUCUUCACGCCACGCCAACCCCAUAUCAGACGCUAUCAGCCUGCCUCCUGCAGGAAGCCACGUCAAGUAACAUCAAACUCAUAUAUAAAUACCCCAGAGUUCUAAACGAACAGGGAGGGAGACGAUUUCACCCAAAAACUCCUCUCCCAAUCACUGACUUGAUCGUCGGAGGGGUCGGGCUGAACCGCCGACCCGACCUGUGUGCAGGUACUCAACUAAAGCCGAUCCAACCCGGCGUUGUGGAACUUUCCAGCCAGACCCCCGCAAUCGGCCGCCCCAAGAUCCCGAGAAGAGUCACGCCUGAUCCCGGCCAUUCGGACCCCUGAACCAGCCGCGUCGACCCCGAGGUCACGGCUAAAAAAGUUACUUACCAUAACAGAUUGGCGCUAGAAGGAGGGGCCCGAAUGUCGAGGGAUCCUCAGACUAAUCCCGACAAACUCCCUGCCGAGGGAUCGUUCUUAGCGGGGGCGCAGACCGUGCGUCCCUUGCGCGACGGGCCGCGGGCUGACGACCUCCCCGCGACCUCGGAACGCUACUAGCGUUCAUUCGACGACCCGAAUCUGCUUCCGCCGGAGGGCGCUCCGAGCGCCCCCUCGCCAGUGUCAUCCGAGGCCUUUCACGACCUCGCUCGUCAAGUCCGAGCUCUGACGGAUAUGGUGCAAACCAUCAUCCCGCCCGUCUCCCAACCGACACCCCCGCUUAAGACUCAACUGCUACGACAACAAGAGCCGCCCGCCUGGGCCCACGUGACGCCUCCGGAGCCUCCCGCUUCGCCUCGGGUCCGACCGACCCCACUCGGGGAUCCAGUGAUGGCAGACCCGAGCGGCCCCCCGGAGCCCGAAGUAUUAUCUCCGGAGUCAACGGAUUCCCUGCGAGCCCAGCUACACUUUCUUAGUCAGCGGCUCGACGAACUAGAGAAGGAGUUUCGCAACUCAGAGGGAGAGCUCGGGAUGGACGCAUACCGAGGAUCUCCGUUCGCACCAAAGAUACGAGAUCACGCAGUUCCCCCGAACUUCCAUCUCCCUUCUUCGGACGCAUACGAUGGCUCCACUGACCCAGCGGACCAUGUUGCCGCUUUCCGUGCCCAAUUGGCACUGUACGGAACGUCUGCGCUUCAAUGUGCAGGGCGUUUCCCACGACCCUGAGGGGUCCGGCCCGCACAUGGUACAGCGGCCUGAAGACCGGAACGAUCACUUCCUUCGGCCAACUCGCCAAGGACUUCGAGCUCCACUUCGUAGCCCAUGCCCGGCCAAAGCCCUCCGCGACACUGCUCCUCGGACUCAAACAAAGAGAGGACGAGCCCCUCUCACAUUUCGUGGACCGCUUUGCCACGCAAAUCCGGAGCUUACCAGACACUCACCCCUCUCUGUUAGUUCAGGCGUUCAUGGUAGGCUUGCGACCUUCCAAAUUCUGUUGGUCCCUCGUAGAGCGACCCCCCACCACAGUACCAGAUAUGCUCCAGCGAGCUAACCGGUACAUCGCGGCGGAAGCUUGGGUGACCGCAAGGAAGAGGAGUGACUUUGGGCGACGGGCCCCGUAGCAGCGGUCAAGCAUCCGCGGUUGCUAUCCGGUGUAAUCCUCGUGCAAGGAAUCUAGCCCCUGCCUCAGUCUCUUCCAAGCGAAGGCUCCAUGUUUACCUGACCGCCUCUUGGCUCACGGUUAGCUUCGGCCUAACCCCCUCUUUUUUGCAUUCGCAUGGCUCGGUCGUAGACGGCCCGAGUCCACCUCAGCGCGGCCUGCGCGCCUGAGCAUUGCCCCUCGGUCGCAGCCUACCUGCGCCGAGCACCUCGGCCACACAUUGCCGAGAUCCACCUCGGCGCGGCUUGUCCGCCUGUGUCGUGCUACUCGGUCGCAUGGUGCCCGAGACCACGUCUGCGUGUCCUGCCCGCCUGCGUCGUGCUACUCGGCCGCAUGGCCCUCGCGACCAUGCCUGCGCGGUCUGCUCGCCUGCGUCGUACUCCUCGGCAGCAUGAUGCCCGAGACCACACCUGCGCAGCCUGCCCGCCUGCGUCGUGCUCCUCGCUCCCAUCAUCCCCGAGACACACCUGCGCGGCCAGCCCGCCUGCGUCGUGCUCCUUGGCUCCAUGUUCCCGAGACACACCUGCACGGCCAGCCCGCCUGCGUCGUGCCCCUCGGCUCCAUACUCCCCGAGACACGCCUGCGCGGCCAGCCUGCCUGCGNNNNNNNNNNNNNNNNNNNNGGCAAGAAAGAAUGAGGAUUUGACGUUUACGUUACUCAACUCUUUAAUCACUCUCUCGCUCUCUCUCUCUCUCUCUCUCUCUCGGUUUGACUCCGCAGAUAUGUAGAGAGAGCAACAACGACACCUCGACGGGAAUUACGUCGAGGAGGUUGUAUGCUCUUUUUACAAUUUUCUGAAAUAACCUAAUACGUAACAAAAAUUAAAAUGUUAACGAGAUUGGCAGUUCAAAACUUCAUUCGAUAAAUAUGAUGAUGUCUCCCAAGUUUAACCGAUUAAGAAGUUAAUUAUUUUAUAGUAAAAUCUAAAAUUAAAAUGUAAAAAAAAGUCAAUCGUAACUGUACAAGCCAUGCCUUUACGUACUAAUUUAUAAUAUUUAUCCUAAUCGAUUUGAUAUUGUUAUCUUUAUUGAUAAAGUUUACUAUUAAUAAUAAUUUUUUACUAUUGACAACCCGCUUGCUAUUGAUAAUUUUUUAAAAAAUAAAAUAUUAUUUUACUAUUUAUAGUCCUUAUAUUAACUAUUUUUUAUCUUUUUUUUAUAACCUCUUAUUUUAUUCUUGCUACCGACAUCCUUUCAAUUAUUGACAUUAUCGCUCACAGUUAUCGUCCGACCCUACUCAUCACCUCUUGAUAUUGACUUUCUAGAAGAAAAAUAUUGAGGAGAAAUUUGAAGAAGAGGAAGAUAUUUAUAUUUAUUUACAAAGAGUUUGUUUAGAAAUAUUAAAAAUUAAAAAAAAAUUAUAAAUGAUAAAAGAAACUUAAAAGUAGUAAUAUCCUUUUUGAUUAGUGGAUUAUGUUGCAUCUACCAACAUAGUUUUUGGAUGAAAUGAAGCUAAAAAGCAUUUCUAAAUCGGCAGUGAUAAAUUUGUUCUCAUUUUAGUCUAUUAUUGUUUUGCUUAUUUUAUAUCACUUAUUUGUGUAUCUCAUUUAGUGAUCUUUAUUUAAUAUAUAUAUUCUUAAUGAUGUCUCAUUUUCUUUUUUCUCUCUUGAUUUGCUUUGUUAUAUUUAUUUUAACAUUUAGUAAUAGAGAUAUGAGAAUAAUAACUUAAGAAAGACCAUCAAUAUCUUAACACCAUAUUAUUGAUACAUUAACGUCAUAUGAUCGACACUCAGUACUAUGUGACUAACAACUCUUUGCUACAUGAUCGAUACCUUAAUAUCAAAUGGUCAAUGCAUCAUCACCCCUCGAGUGCUGUGAUUACUGACUCAACCUUAUAAAAAUUAGUAUAUGAGAUCUAGCUUAACUAGUUGUUACUUCAUGUUCCUUAAAUGCGACGCUACAUGAUCACAUUUGUAGUCGAAGAAAAUACGUAAUCAUUUUAGACAUUAACCACACCAUUAAUCCAAAAAUCAAAUACUCCACUAUAAAUGCCCUCCAAGUAAAUUACACCUUUUAUAUUCGAUAUUAGCUUGAAUCUUUCGAACUUUUUAUUAAUUUAAAUAUCGAAGAGAUCUUAUCGCUCUCUACGUAAUUCUUUUUCAUAAUAUAUCUUACUGAACCUGCUCUGCCCUUCUCUUGACAUCAAGUUUGUGAUAGAUUUAGACUCUAAUCAAGAUUGACUUUUUACCGUCUACGAAAAAUCAAAUUCUAUUCAGCAAACUAUUGCCAUGGUAGUCAUAAAAUAUAAAACCAAAAUCAUGAAUCACAUCCUCAAAUUGUUAGAUUUUACUAAUUAGAUUUUUUAAUUCUCAUAGUUUUAUUUACUAUAAAAGUACUUAAACUUCUCCAACUACACGUACAUGGAAGAGACAGAGUGAAAUCUAUUAUAUUAUUUGCUCUAUGAGCCUGUCAUCAAUCGGUCUAUCCAGUACAUAUCAGUCUUUUUAUUAUAAUAUUAUUUUUAAUAAAAUGAUAAUAAUAAAUAUAAUUUUAGAAAAAAAAUAUAUUUCUUUUUUCACAUCAAAUUAAAAAUAUAAAAGUAGAUGCUUAGGCUAAGUUUAGAUUGGGAAUCUUGAAACAUAAAUUCUUAUUUGUUAUUUUUAUAAAAAUAAAUGAAUAAUAGUUGUUCGACGUAGUUAAGAUGUUAGGAAUAUGAGUGAUUCCGGUCAAAACCCAAAAAAACUACAUCCAAACUUGGAGUUCAAAAGAUGUAGUUAACAAGAGAAAUAUAUAGCUAGUCUCGUAUCUUACCCUCGUUGGAUAGACUAUAAUGGCCAUUAGAAAUCAAUAAAUGAUAAAGCAUGUUAAGAUGAGAAGAAGGCAUCAACAAUGUCAAUAAUGGAAGGAAUCAUAUUGGGAUUUGACUACCGACUACAAUAUAAACUUGGCUCGAUGGAUCGAUUUGUGCAUUUACUUCGUGGGGCCUUAAGCCAUGUUAAAGAUUGUGUAAUAGACCCGGUUGGAUUGGGUUGUUGAUCCAUCAAUCCUACCAGCACUGUGAUAGAUAGCAAGACAUGUUAUUAUAUGAUAUUAGCAUGGGUUAUCCAAAUGUACUACAACUAUUAUGGAUAAGGAUUCUAUUUCAGAGGUUGACUUAAAGUUCAUCUUACAUUGAGAAGAUGGAUUUAUGUAUCAAAAUGUGUAUUAGCUAUAUUUAUAUUAUUAGAGGUAAUAUAGCUUAUCUUUAAAAAUUUUUAAUUUUAUUUUAGGGUGAAUUCUCAGAAAAUUCAUAUAGCACUUUUUUUUUAUUUUUGAAUUUUUUUCCGUUGAAUACCCUAAUUUUUCUUCCUUUAUAGAAAUGUCACAAAAGAUUUUUUUUAUUUUUUAGUUUGAGAGCAUUUUGGUAUAUAUAAAAAAAAGGAUGCGAUGUCAAAAAGUUAAAAACAAAUAGACGGUUUACAAGAAAAAGAAAAAAAAAGGGGACCCUUCUAGGGAUUUUUUUUGACGUGCAAUAUACUUAAAACAUAAUAUAUAAAUAUUAUUUAGAUAAGCACUUUGUAUGAAGGAGACAUUAUAAUUAUAAUAAUUUCAAUGAUAUUAUAAUAUUUAUUAUAAAUAAUAUGACAAACAUGUUGAGAAUAAAUAAUAUUAUAUAUAAUAUAAUAUCAAAUAUAAUAGUUUUAAUUAGAAUAUAAUAUUUAUUAAAAGUAAUGUGAUAAAUGUAUUGAGAAUAAUAAUAUAAUCGACACUUCCUUACAAUCGCAUGUCGAUGUCAGGUGAUAAAUAUGUUGAGAAUAUAUAAUAUAACAUAAUAUGUUAUUAUAAUAUAAUAUUUAUUUGAAUAAGGGGAUAAAUAUGUUGAGAAUAAUGACAUAAAUUACGCUUGCAAUCAUAAAUGUGUUGAGAAUAUAUAAUAUAAUAUAAUAAUUUUUAUUAUAAAAUAUAAUAUAAUUAAAAAUGUCGAAGCAAUGGAUAAACAUGUCGAGAAUGUUAUAAUAUAAUAUAAUAAUGUUUAAUUAUAAUAUAAUAUUUAUUAGAAUAACGACAUGGCCGACACUCGCUUGCAAUGACAUGUCGUGUGUGUGAGGUUACAGCGGCAACUCUACAAAAACCAGCUGCAUUUGGCCGGUCGAUGACGCAGAGAGGGCAUCUGUGGUUCUCCAUGGAACUGCUGCAGCUCCCUUCCAUCCCAGUCUUGGUGUUCUCCUUCCUCUUCUUGCUCCUCUUGAUCAAGAAGAGAGGAUUCACCGGGUGCAGAAAUGAGAGCCACCCACCACGUCGUCCACCAGGCCCAUGGAAUCUACCCUUCGUCGGAUGCAUGCACCACCUGGUCGGGCAGCUCCCCUUCCGCGCAUUCCGCGAGCUCGCCCGCAAGCAUGGCCCCCUCAUGCUCCUCCGGCUCGGCCAGGUCGACGUCGUCGUCGUCUCCUCGCGCGAAGCCGCCGAGGAGAUCUUGAAGAACCAGAGCGUCACCUUCGCUUCCCGGCCCGAGCUCCUCUCUACCAAGUUCGUCUUCUACGGCCCAACCGGCAUCGUCUGGGCCCCCUACGGCCCUUACUGGCGGCAGCUGCUCAAGCUCUGCUGCAUGGAGCUGUUCUCCGCCGGGCGCAUCCGGUCGUUCUCCCCCAUCAGGACGGAGGAGACCCUUGACCUGAUGAGAGACAUCGCGAGGUCGGGCGGAACCACCGUCAACCUGACCGAGAAGCUCUUCGGGCUGUCGAACGCCAUCGUCUGCCGAGCGGCGUUCGGCAAGCGGCGCAAGCACCGGGAGAGGUUCAUCCCGGUCAUCAAGGAUGCUCUGGCGCUCUCCAGUGGUUUCCGCGUGGCCGACAUGUUCCCGUCGCUCAAGUUCAUCGACAUCCUCUCGGGUGCCGUGUUCAGGUUGCGGCGGCUCCGGCGGCAGCUAGACGAGAUCCUGGAAGACAUAAUCAAGGAGCAUGAGGGCAAGGCUUCCGCGAGCAGCGGCGACAAAGCUGGAGAGGUAGACGACCUAGUGGACGUGCUGCUGAGGCUCAAAGACGACCCCCAACUGGAAGUGCCCUUGACGAUGGAAAACGUCAAGGGUGUGAUCGUGGUAAGGAACGAUCCAUCGAUCGAUCGAUUCCCGUGAUACUAAUCUAUUGACUACCCACAUCGCUCUUGGUUCUUGUGAUCUACAGGACAUGUUCCUGGGGGGCACCGAGACGUCUUCGACCGUCGUCGAAUGGGCCAUGUCGGAGCUGAUGAGAAACCCCGAGAUCAUGGAGAGAGCGCAGAAGGAAGUGAGGGAAUUAGCUGCGCAACGGAGGAACAGAGUAGAGGAGAGCGACAUCUCCGAGCUAAACUACAUGAAGCUAAUCAUCAAGGAGACGCUGCGGCUUCACCCGCCGGCCCCGCUGUUACCGAGACUGUGCAGGGAGACCUGCGAGGUCAUGGGGUACAGGAUCGACGCCGGCACUCGCGUCUUCGUCAACUUAUGGGCGAACGGCAGGGAUGCGCGUUACUGGGACGACGCCGAGACAUUCAAACCAGAGAGGUUCGAAGGCAGCGCCAUGGAUUUCAAGGGAGUCGACUUCGAGUACUUGCCGUUCGGGGCCGGGCCGAGGAUAUGCCCCGGAAUGGGUUUCGGGAUGGCCACCGUGGAGCUCGCCCUGACUCACCUCCUCCUGCACUUCGACUGGGAGCUGCCCCAUGGAAUGAGACCGGAGGAGCUCGACAUGUCCGAGACCA